rnacentral:lncRNA from 1 species
GCCUAGUCAAUAUCCUAUCAAAAAUCAUAGUAGGUUUGCUGUGAUAUCCACAAGGCUUGCUAUGGAGAUUGAUGUGGAUUUGUCUUGGUGCAUAUUAGAUACUUUAUGGCAUAUUUGGAUAUUGCUUUAUUGUUUGAAAAUAUAUCCUAAAGUCAAUCAUCUAGAUUGUAGAUGAUUGUGCUCCACACAUGUAUAUAAAUUAUAAAAUGAUAAAUGUUAUCUGGUAGAUUCAUC